CAUUGUUUUGAGUCGGGUCUGCUCCAGCGCAGCACGUUUUAGAAUGUGCAGCGGGUGCGCAGACUCUGCGGGCAAGCAGUUUGCGUUGCUCGGACAGGGUAUGCGCGCAGACUCACGUCAUUUGAACGUGAACGCACCCUACAUUCUUAGUAUCUCUAGCUCUCUAACUUAAGUAUCUUAGAUUAUCAGCUACCGCUGCAGCUUCAGCUGCUCCAGCACACAUCCUCAUCAUGGCUGAGGAAUGUUACAAGCGUGGGAUCCGGUUAUUCGUGCUCUCAGCACUCACAGCACUGUGCAAAGCAGAUGAAUUUCUGGUGUAUGGAGAGAGGCAGUCUUCUGUAAUUGUUCCCGGAUUCAGUGAUUUGGAAACGAGUGGACGUUUAAACUGGCAAUUCUCCAGCCGUAAGACCAGCGCGGCUAUUCUGGAUUAUGUCAUUGGAAGUGCGGAAGCCAACAUCAGUCCCAUGUACAAGAACCGGGUUCAGUUUUUCCCCUCCAACGCAUCAGUGCUCAUUAAGGUCUUGCAGUACAGUGACGAAGGCAACUACACCUUGACAGUGCAGGGCGCUGUAACCAAGACAAGAACCAUCCUCCUGCAAGUCCUGGGACCACUGUCCGACCCACUGAUUUUCAGUUAUGAGCGCAACUCCUCCGUGGUGCUCAGGUGCUCUACGGUUUCGGGGUCACUGUUGACGUUCAGCUGGGAGAGAGGGGGCUCCACUCUGCAUAACGACACCAAGUACAAUCUGAUGGAGGACUACAGCGCUCUCACUUUCACCCUCACAAUACGCAACCUACAGAAGUCCGACUGUGGGAGCUACAAGUGCAGAGUGUCAAACCCGGUAUCUGUGAAGGAAAGUUCUUAUGACUUGUCCAGUGGUGACGUGUGUAGGCAGGAAGUGUACCUGCAGUGGUUGGUGCCUGUCUGUGCCCUCGUGCCUUGCGGGCUGUUCCUCAUUGGCUCAGGGAUUUUUUAUUUCAUUAAGAAGAAUAUGAGAGAGAGGCAUGAAAUGAGCGAGGUAAACAGCGUUGUGUGAAAUGUGUUCCUGCGCAAAAAGGAAACAGACCACAUCAACCCCUGAAGCUGAUGAUACGAUAGCUUCCUGCAUUGCUUUCACUGAUUCAAAAGCCUGUGAAGGACUUCCCCUCCCAUUGGAUCACUCCAGCAAAAAACAGAGAUAAACGCGGAGUUGCCUUGUGCCACCCAGAAGGAAGAAUUGUUUUGUUUGUUUUUCUUCUUCAGUGUUUCCAGUUGAUUUACGCUUUAAAGUUGGCAUACCCAAUUGUCUUCUCAUCGCAUUAUUUUCUUAAAGGGAUUGUGAUUACCAUUUCAUGAAAAUAUAAUUAUCAGUACUAACCACUCCAUUUCAUUAUUGGUAUUAAGAUCAUGUACCGUUUUUAUUGUGUGUGAUUGCAUUCUGGAGCUCAAAUUUAAAGAUUAAAAAUAUGAAAAUGCCCAGCGCCUGGAGAGCGCAUUCAAGUCUCUCAUGCCAGGCUUCGAGUGACGUCACGGUACCAGCAGCUCAAGAAGCUGCUACCACAAACGCAAUGCACUGUUUCCCGGGGUGCUUUGGAAAAGUUUGUCAUCCGAGUAGAUGGAGCAAUAGUUGAAAAGCUCCAAGCGGUCGCUUCAGUCUUAGCAGUAUACAUUUGUAUGUUUUAAUCUUUAAAUUUGAGCUCCAGAACAAACGGUACAGGGUCUAAAUGCUACUAAGGAAAUAAAGUGGCAAGUAUUAAUAUUUUUAGUUUCAUUAUCCAGUGCUUAUUAUCCCUUUAAGAAACUGUAGGUUUAUCUUAAAUUGAAAAAAAUCAGAUGUUCUGUCGCUUUUUAAAUAUGUAAUACCGUAAAUGUUAGUAGGUUCACGCAUUGUAAUUGCUGCAAAAAACCUUAAAUUGCUACUGUCCUCGUGAAAGUCAGUACUUGCAUAGGCUAUUGGGUUUAGUUUUCAGUGGAGUUCUGAUGGAUUAGGAUUAUUUUUCACGAUUAUAUAUAUAUAUAUAUAUAUAUAUAUAUAUAUAUAUAUAUAUAUAUAUAUAUAUAUAUAUAUAUAUAUAUAUAUAUAUAUAUAUACAGUGCCUUGCAAAAGUAUUUAUAGACACCUGACCAAUUCUCUCAUAUUACUGAAUUACAAAUGGUACAUUGAAAUUUCAUUCUGUUUGAUAUUUUAUUUUAAAACACUGAAACUCAAAAUCAAUUAUUGUAAGGUGACAUUGGUUUUAUGUUGUGAAAUAUUUUUAUUAUAUAUUUAUUAUAUUGUCUAGCCUGUCGGUUUUGCGCUUGUUGAAGGUGGCUAGUGACAAUGGGUGUAAUUCGAUCUAUCCUGUCCUGCAUUUGGAUAACAUGAUCUAUUACAUUCUUACCCGUACUAUUCUGUUCUUCCCACAUCUCUCUGGCAAUGUCUAAGAUCCCUCUGGGUUGACGACCAUAUAAGAGCUCGAACGGAGAAAAACCUGUGGAUGAUUGGGGUACUUCCCGAAUAGCAAACAUUAAAUAAGGCAAUAGCAAAUCCCAAUCCUUCCUUUUCCCAAUCCUUCCUUCCCAAUCCGUCUUUUGAAAUUACUUUUUGCAACAUGGAUUUUAAUGUUUUAUUAAAACGUUCCACUAGCCCAUCGGUUUGAGGAUGAUAAACAGACGUUCUAAAUCGGUUUAAUUUUUAACAAAGCACACAACUCUUUCAUUAACCGACUCACAAAGGGCGUUCCCUGAUCUGUCAAGAUCUCCUUAGGUAUCCCGACUCUAGAAAAUACUUGAAUCAAUUCUGUAGCUAUGGUUUUCGACGCCAUGUUUCUUAAAGGAAUGGCCUCUGGAUACCUUGUGGCAUAAUCUAAAAUAACAAGAACAUACUCAUGUCCCCGGGCCGACUUAUUUAGAGGACCUAUUUAAUCCAUGGCAACCCUCUCAAAGGGUAUUUCAAUAAUGGGCAUUGAUUGGAGAGGGGCCCUGAGAUGGGGUCGGGGGCUAGCUCUCUAACACUCUGGGCAUGACUUACACAAAACCGUUCCACUGCUUUGUGGAUCCCUAUCCAAUAGAACCUUUGCGCAAUUCUCUGUAAUGUUUUUUCACUCCCUAAAUGAGCUCCAAACAAGUGACUGUGCGCUAACUUCAACACCAUGCUCUGAUAAGCCUGAGGAACCAACAGUUGUUCCACCAACAUAUCAUUAACAAAAACAACUCUAUAUAACAAAUUAUUUUUAACAAUAUAAUGUUCUCUCUGGUUUAUUACAGCCCCCCUCUACUGGUACACCAUUUACCACUACUACCCUCUCCCGUAUAUGAACUAAUGUUGGGUCCUGCGCUUGAUCCCUUCCAAAAUUCCGAGCAAAGGUUUGAAAAGGAUCGUACCAAUUCUCCGUUUCAGUACUAUCCACUAAAUCCACUAUCCCCUCCCCUGUUUCAUCUAAAAUGUCCUUGGCCAUACACUGAGUACCUACUCCUUUGCCCUUGCUUUUCCUUUGUUCUCCUACUAACACUGUUACCCCUGGAGAACCCUGUUUCUUUUCUAGUCAUCUCUGCCGACGUGACUUGUUAUUUAUUGGGUUUUGAUCCUUCAAAUAAUCCAGUAUCUGUAAAUGGGAAUACAGUAAAGAGACUUUCAGCAGUGGCAUUAUCCACCCUAUUGAUUUGUUCUGGGUUAGUCAAUGUCCCCUGGAAUUUCACUAGGUUUUUAAAACCGGGGUAAUCUCUUCCAAGGAUUACUUGGUGCGGUAACCUCUCCACCAUGCCCACUCUUACUUGGUAUACAGAGUUCUGAAAUGAUACAUUUACUAGAGCGGUUGGGUAUGGUUUUAAAUCCCCAUGUAUACAAAUAAUCCCUGUACUGAGAUUAUAAUCCAUUUGGGUGGUAGGCACCAAUUCAGAUGCUACCAGUGUGACUGCACUACCCGUGUCAAUGAGAGCCUUAGCCUUAUUCCCAUUUAAUUCUACCUGAGCAAAAUAAGGACACAUCUCCUUUACUUCUCCUGGUAUAACAAUACCGCUGCAAAAAUGCUCCCCUAGGUUACACUGCAUAGGUUCAUCCCGUUUACAAAAUCUAGCAAUAUGACCCAUUUGAUUACAUUUAUAAAAAGAGUAGUCUACUCCCUCCUUUUUUCUAGUCUCCCCCAGUCCCUGCAAUCGUCCCUUCGUGGCAUAUAGCCGCUCUUCAUUCCCCACUAAGAGUGGCUUACCCUUCUGGUCGGGGGAACGUUGUUUCCAUGUUGAGGGUCCAGGUACAUUAGCUUUGGGAGGGGUGGUUGAGCGCGCUAAUUCUUCAGCCGCUAUUUGGCGUUCGACUAGAGAUAUGAAUUCGUCAAAGUUGCUAGGGUUCCCUUGGCCCACCCACUGCCUCAUUGUUGGUGGUAAGGCCCGAAGGUAGCAAUCCAUUACCAGGCAUUCGAUAACCUGGUGACUAUCAUGCUCUUCCGGUUUCAGCGACCGGUUGGCUAAGUGAAUUAAAUCAAACAGCUGAGACCUUGGUGGUAACGAGACUUUAUAACUCCAGCUGUGAUAUUUUUGAGCUCGUAGAGCAGUAGUAAUUCCUGCCCUGUCAUGUCAUCUCCUGCGGUCAUCUUGUUCAAGACAUGUGUAGACCGUAUUGAUGCAUUGGUGGAGACCGGUCCAGCUACCCCUGACGUAAUAUGGGUGGCCAAUUGCUCCACUCAUAGCAUCAGGGCUUGUGUGGCUUCUCGUUGAGCCUGCGUGGUGUCUUGUUGAGCCUGCAUGUUUGCCUGCUGACCCCCUACGACGGUGGCGAACAUGCGAACUACGGUCUCUAGGUCGGUCAUCUUGUCUGUAAUUCUUGUACAGCCCAGUGGGUCCUGCAGUGGUUGUCUGCAGGGUUAAGCAGAUCCCACUUCUGAUGCCAAGUGUGACACAAAUGUGUUCACGUAGUUUGGGACCUGGCUAAGGUGUCUGUAUUGUAGUGCAGACAAAUGUGAUCCAGACCGUAAUUGCAAGUAUUAGUUCCAAAAUUAAAUAAACGAAACACACAGAAGUUCUUCACAAUGAACAACUCCUACAGUGAACACAGUACAGUAUUUUCUUCUUGGCUGGACUGUUUCUGGAGGUGACCCUUUGCACCGGAACUCAGGUAAGUACUUGGUGGUUCUCUUCUAAAUCUUUUCCUGUUGUUGGUUUGUUGCUGUGUCCCCUUUUCUCUCUUUCCAAGUGCUGUGGAGCUUCCAGCAGAUGGCGCUGUGGAGUCAGGUCCCUCUAGCUUCACUAUGUCCAGGUUUGUACUUACUAUUGCCCGGUGGUCCUUUGCAGAACUGCACAGCCCAGUCAACCUUUUGUGAAGGUAAAAACAAACUACACUUAAAGUUGAAUAAUUUAUUAACUAUACUGUAACUUGUCAGAGUACUGUUCAUAAUUCUAUAUUAUAUCUUUCCUUAAAGGGUUCCUCUCUUUAUGGAAAUCAAUUCCGUUGUGCAUCGCACCACUUAAAAUACCCCGUACGUUGUGAGCUUUGAGUUACCGUCUCGGUACCCCAUUGGCUUCAGCCAGGGUUUCUUAAAAAUAAACACCAGUCCCGUACCACAACACAUCCAGGAACAAACACAACACGCUGUACUCACUGUGACUGGGUCUGUGUUGUAUACGUUGUUCCUCUGUGUUGGUCCUCUGUCAGAAGGUAUUUGUAAUCCACAGUGAUCCUCUGUUCUAUGUAGCAGACGUGAGUCGAGUGCAGCGUCUCGCUCUCAUCUGGUAUUAACUGUGCACUCCUUACGCUCACCUCUUCGACAAGUUGUAAUUUGAAACCGAGUGGAACAUCUCGGUUUUGUUUGAUAUUUUGUUUAUAAUCCUUAAUGCUCACCACUCUGUAAUAUAGCAGACUCGGGCCAAGUGCAGCGUCCCCUUCUCGUCUGCUAUUUUAAUUUCAUCCGUAAUAUUAAUAUCACCUGUUCUCUCCUACCUAGCAGCCUUUUAAAGUCACCGCCGUUCCCCGUCAUGCACUGGCGGGUUUCCUGGUGGUCGUUGGGAAAUGUAGUUUCUGGUCCUUCUAUGUAGGCAUUUAAUCCCUUAAAAACCUCACUCCCAUCACAAAUUAAUUAUAUAUAUAUAUAUAUAUAUAUAUAUAUAUAUAUAUAUAUAUAUAUAUAUAUAUAUAUAAUAAAGAGUACGUGAUGAAGAGUGGAGGGAAGGCACGACCAGUCGGCCAGUAGAGGAGGAGCAGAGAGGGCGAGAGGGGGUGUAGUGAGAUACAAGGGAUUGGAGGUAGGAGGGGGCAGUGUGGUGAAGGGAGCGGAAGGCAAGAACAAGCAGAGAUAGGUAGCCAGUGGAGGGUGCGAAACAGAGGGUAGCAUGAGAGAAGCGAGGUUGGGAGAAUACAAGACGAGCAGCAGAAUUUUGAAUGAGCUGCAGGGGCCAGAUAGUCGAAGCAGGGAGACCAGCAAAAACAAGUCAAAUUACCAAGCAUACGGUGGAUGUUUUAAGGAAAAUAAAUGAACAAACAGAUUUGACAAAAGUGGGAUUAAAACACACACUCAGGCACGUACUGCGGGUUGAAAAUGCGCUGCUGCACUACUUUUAUUAAAUAAACACAAAACGAAACCAAAAAAAUAACAGUGCGAGGGCCAAAAGAAAACACAACCAAAUAGUCAGCACUCGCAUAUCCGACCCGAUAAUUUUGACUUCAGUGACAGUUAAACUCAUGUGACGCAUAUCUGAUUAUUUUAUUUUGGCCCUUCCAAAACCUUGUCAAUCUCAAAAAUAUAUACCUGAAAUGAGUAGGCUUCCAUUUAGCUGUACUGUAUUGGGUUUUGUUGGUACAGUACUAGAAUUUCAACAGAAGAAAUAUUUUAAUUCGGAACAAUACGAUUAUGAAAAUAUCACUUGCCAAAAGAGACACGAGGACUGUAAUACAGUACAUACUUUUCAAUCCGGUACGUAUUGUAGCAGUAUGUAAAAUUCCCCGUUAACGACCCAACAGCAAAAUGAAAUCACAAUGUCACUGUGAUGGGGUACAUCUCGCCCCUGUGUUGUAUUAUUUUGUAUUUGUAUUAUGAUUUAUUUGUUACAUUAUGUCGGCGAAAAGCCAUAUUGUGUAUUUAAAAUGCAGGGCAGACGAAAAGCUCUCUGCCAUUAUUUUUGGUUUGUUAUUUAUUAUUUAUAAACUCAUGAGAAUGUGUAACUGUCGGCUAAUAAUUAAUAGAUUGGCUGGCAGUCACACAGAUGAUUAAAACCUGUGUAUGUGACCAUUGUCUUAAUUUGGAGAUGGCCACGUAUAUUUAAAGCAGAGAUCAGCCGCACAGAAGGAUGAUUGGGAGUACUCUGCAAAGGAUUGCUAUAUUCGAGAAGCAACUGCUACCGCUGUACCACACGGUAUUUGUGUUUAUUUGGGCCCUUAUGCGGUUUUGUUUUUGUUUAUACUUGUGUUGUUUUGUUUGUUAUUAUUAAAGCCUGAGCGCAAUAGCAUCUCA